rnacentral:rRNA from 1 species
AGAGUUUGAUCCUGGCUCAGGACGAACGCUGGCGGCGUGCUUAACACAUGCAAGUCGAACGGUGAUGGGGGGCUUGCUCCCUUGAUCAGUGGCGAACGGGUGAGUAACACGUGAGUAACCUGCCCCUGACUCUGGGAUAACUGCUGGAAACGGUGGCUAAUACCGGAUAUGAAACUUCCUCGCAUGGGGUUGUUUGGAAAAUUUUUUGGUUGGGGAUGGGCUCGCGGCCUAUCAGCUUGUUGGUGGGGUGAUGGCUCACCAAGGCGACGACGGGUAGCCGGCCUGAGAGGGCGACCGGCCACACUGGGACUGAGACACGGCCCAGACUCCUACGGGAGGCAGCAGUGGGGAAUAUUGCACAAUGGGCGCAAGCCUGAUGCAGCGACGCCGCGUGAGGGAUGGAGGCCUUCGGGUUGUAAACCUCUUUCAGCAGGGAAGAAGCGUGAGUGACGGUACCUGCAGAAGAAGCGCCGGCUAACUACGUGCCAGCAGCCGCGGUAAUACGUAGGGCGCAAGCGUUGUCCGGAAUUAUUGGGCGUAAAGAGCUCGUAGGCGGUUUGUCGCGUCUGCUGUGAAAACCUGAGGCUCAACCUCGGGCUUGCAGUGGGUACGGGCAGACUAGAGUGCGGUAGGGGUGACUGGAAUUCCUGGUGUAGCGGUGGAAUGCGCAGAUAUCAGGAGGAACACCGAUGGCGAAGGCAGGUCACUGGGCCGCAACUGACGCUGAGGAGCGAAAGCAUGGGGAGCGAACAGGAUUAGAUACCCUAGUAGUCC